ensembl:lncRNA
GGAGAAUCCGUAUGGACAGAGGAGCCUGGCAGGCUACAGUCCAUGGGGUCACAGAGAGUUGGACACCACUGAGUGACUAAGCACACAUACCAUUCCCUAGUGUUGUCAGGGUUGACAAACAGAUUGUUUGUUACCUCCAUAAGUUAUGUUAGAAAUAUAACCUUAAUAUUAGGGGGGGACAAAAAGAUACUUUCCUCUUUAUGUGUAGUGUUUCUGGUUGGUGAAGCUCAGUGGAGAUGAGACUGAAAUGUUAUUGGUGGAGGGCAGAUAAAACAAGACUUUGCAGGCCCUUUGAUUUAGUUCCUGAGUAUCCUUUCCUCUCAUAAUGCAAAUAGUUUAGUUGCUUUUAAGUAUCUGUACAUUAAUAAACUAAAAAUGGCUUCCCACAUGGUACAGUGGUAAAGAAUCCACCUGCCAAUGCAGGAGACACAAGAGUCUCGGGUUCUAUACUUGGGUCGAGAAGAUCCCCUGGAGCAGGAAAUGGCAACCUACUCCAGUCUUUCUGCCUGGGAAAUCCCAUGGACAGAGGAGCCUGGCAGGCUACAGUCCAUGGGGUUGCAAAGAGUUAGAUAUGACUGACUAAACACACAAAUUUAAAAUAGCUACCAUUUAUUAUGCUUCACAGUUGCUAUUAAUAAUUGCUUUUGUUUGGUAUUCAUUCAAUCUUAAUUCUAUGAGUUCUGUUAAAAGUGGACUUUACAUGUGAAAAGAACGGAAGCGCGUUUGAUAAUUUGCCUAAGGUGAGGUUACCUAGGCCACAAUGUGGAGAAUGGGCCUGGGGGAAGAAUGGCUCUAAGGAGAGCAGAUUGUAAGGGUAUUAUUACAGUUGCAGUGAGGGAAGAUGGUGGCUUGGACUCGGGUAGGUAGCAGUGGGCAUGGAAAGAGGUGACACAGAGAGGUUCUUUAAUGUGUUAUCACAGAAGGACUUGGUGAUUCCUUUUUAGGGGAGACUUCCAGCAACCUUAGUAGCUGCACUGAUGGGCUUGUUGGACACUGAGCAAGGAGAUGCUGGAAGAAUAGGGUUGUGGGUGAAGAUGUUGAUGAAGGAUCUAGGGAUGUGUGUUUCAGGAUAGGAGAAACUAAGGUGUUUAAAUGUUCGUGGGAUGGACUUCAGAGAGAAGAUAUAGAAAAGAGACAUUUAAUGUAGAAUGAGAUGUGAGUAGUGAUCCAGAGUAGAGUGGAAGGACUGGCCUCUGAUAGAUGAACUCCUCUGAGUCUCUAAGGCUGAACAGAGACUUGCUAGGUUGGCCUGUUAGGAAAUUUAUUCUAUUCUUAAAUUCCUAGUGGACUAAGGUGGCAAGUUGAAUUAGUUUUAUCUUAAGGAUAUUUAAAACUAACCAGAAUGAAGGCAGUUAUACGCCAGUUAUCCCAUGGACAGAGGAGCCUGGCAGACUACAGUUCAUGGGGUCACAGAGACACAACUGAGUGCACGCACACGCACACACAUGCCAGUGAAAAAUUAAUAGUGAAAAAUUAACCAGAAUGAGACUGUGCUCAGUCUCAAUCUUCUAGUCACUCAUGUUAACUCACUUAUGUUAGCAUGGAUGAGAUUAUUUCCAUGGAAGAUCGUCAGACUCCCAGGUUACCAUCUGCUUUCUCUAAUCCUUUCAUUUGAUCCUUGCAUCUAGGCAUGUUUUUUUUUUUUUUUUUUUUUUAACAACUUUGGG